rnacentral:rRNA from 1 species
CACGCAGGCGGAUUGAUAAGUCAGGGGUGAAAUCCCGGGGCUCAACCUCGGAAUUGCCUUUGAUACUGUCUACCUUGAGUUCGGGAGAGGUUGGCGGAAUUCCUAGUGUAGAGGUGAAAUUCGUAGAUAUUAGGAAGAACACCAGUGGCGAAGGCGGCCAACUGGCCCGAUACUGACGCUCAUGUGCGAAAGCGUGGGGAGCAAACAGGAUUAGAUACCCUGGUAGUCCACGCCGUAAACUAUGGAUGCUAGCCGUUGGGGAGCUUGCUCUUCAGUGGCGCAGCUAACGUCUUAAGCAUCCCGCCUGGGGAGUACGGUCGCAAGAUUAAA